rnacentral:rRNA from 1 species
AUUGAACGCUGGCGGCAGGCCUAACCCAUGCAAGUCGAACGAGUGGCGGACGGGUGAGUAAUGUCUGGGAAACUGCCUGAUGGAGGGGGAUAACUACUGGAAACGGUAGCUAAUACCGCAUACCAUCAGAUGUGGCCAGAUGGGAUUAGCGUGUUGGUGGGGUAACGGCUCAACAAGGCGACGAUCCCUAGCUGGUCUGGGAGGAUGACCAGCCACACUGGAACUCAGACACGGUCCAGACUCCUACGUGUGGCGGAAGUGGGGAAUAUUGCACAAGGGGCGCAAGCCUGAUGCAGCCAUGCCGCGUGUAUGAAGAAGGCCUUCGGGUUGUAAAGUACUUUCAGUGGGGAGGCGUUACCCGCAGAAGAAGCACCGGCUAACUCCGUGCCAGCAGCCGCGGUAAUUC